rnacentral:ncRNA from 12 species
GGUUAUUGAGGAUAGUAAGGCAGCUAUCACGCCAGAGAUGGUCUUUCAAGAGAUGCAGGGUACGCCGUCCUGCCAACAACC